rnacentral:rRNA from 1 species
GACGAACGCUGGCGGCGUGCCUAAUACAUGCAAGUUGAGCGAUGAAGAUUGGUGCUUGCACCAAUUUGAAGAGCAGCGAACGGGUGAGUAACGCGUGGGGAAUCUGCCUUUGAGCGGGGGACAACAUUUGGAAACGAAUGCUAAUACCGCAUAACAACUUUAAACAUAAGUUUUAAGUUUGAAAGAUGCAAUUGCAUCACUCAAAGAUGAUCCCGCGUUGUAUUAGCUAGUUGGUGAGGUAAAGGCUCACCAAGGCGAUGAUACAUAGCCGACCUGAGAGGAGGAACAGACACAAGGGAAAUGAGAAACGGUACAGAAACAUACGGGAGGAAGCAGUGGGGAAUAGUGGAAAAGGGGAGCAAGCCUGAUCCAGCCAUGACGCGUGAGGGAAGAAGGUAUGCGGAGUGUAAACCACUUUGGGUAGGGAGGAAAAGAAGAAAGGUAAUAACGGGCUGUAAUGAAGGGACCAAAAGAAUAAGAAAAGGAUAACUUCGUG